rnacentral:miRNA from 1 species
CCUCAUUGAUUGGAAGGAAUUCCUUCCGAUCGAUGAGGUGUAACAGCCUCAUCAACUGGAAUUAAUCCCUUGCAGUUGAUGAGGUUGUUAUACCUCAUCAACCGGAAGGGGUUCCUUCCGGUUGAUGAGG